ensembl:lncRNA
CCUUCCUCCCACCACCCCUCUUCCAGACCCCAACUGACGGGGACCGCAGGGACCAGAGGCCACUAUCAGGCCCACGCAGCCGUUCGCCCCCUCCUGCUGACACUGGGCUCAGUGCCACACUCUCCUGUGGUCACCUGGACGUGGUGGCACCUGGACAUAGUGGCACAGGUCCACCCCUGGUGUCUGAGCCCCUCUCCAGCCGUGGCCGAGUGCCAGGGAGAAUCUGGCUGCUGCGCGACCACAACGGCUACAGAGCACGUGGAGGGGGCUGUGCCGGAGCCACGGCCAGGCUCAGCCAAAGCCAGGAUGCAGCGGAGAUGGGGGACCUCUCUGCCCGAGCUGCCAGUGUGAGAUGGGACAGCAAGUGAAAGAUCCAGAGCACAGCCCUGACGGGAGAAACCCUGUCCUCGUGUCCAGUCGCAGCCCCCUGUGUGUUGGUAUGGAUGCUAUGGGCCAGGCUGUGGCACGCCAAUGGCAUCUGCUGCUGUGACAGACUGGAAUGGCGGUAUAAAUCUUGAUGCUUGUAAGGCUUUCGACAUCGUUUCAUAAAACAGGCUCCUAAGCAAGUUACAGAUCACAUUCUGCCAAAAGCUGCUAUAAAAUGAGCGCCGUUCCCAGCUCAGAUGGGGGCUGCCAGGCUGCGGCUACCAGCAGGUGAGAUAAAGGGAUGCAGGACUGGCUUUAAAACCUGCAGACAAAAUAUGAAGGCAGGGAGGAUGGGAAGCAUGUCGGAAGGCAGGCUCCUCACUGCAAGCCGCUCCUCCACGCCUCCGCUGCUGACACGUUAGAGAAACGGUCUCAGGGAUGAGGCUGCCGUGUGGUGCAGAUAAAGGCCGUCGGCACUUCAGCACAAAGAGGCAAUUGCAUAAACAAGAAAUGGGGAGAGAGGAGGAAGAGAUGAAUGUGGGGGAAAGGAGCUGCGGCUCUGCGGAAUCACGCGGAACAGAGGAUGCGGGCGGCUGCUGGAGGCACGGGGAGCAGCGGGGGGAGGCAGCGAUGCCUGGACACUGCCCUUUGGGCUGCUUGGAGAGAGUCCAGAGGAGGAUGUCAGAGACCUGGAAAACAUGACCGGCAAGGAAAAACGGCGAGACGUGGGACUGCUUAAUUGGUAGGAGGGAGCAGAGGAGGCUGGAGCAGCCGUCUGCAGGAAUGCAAAUGACUCCUGCAAAGAGGAAAGAAUUAAUCUGCCCAUGCUGAAUAAAACAAGGGGAAACAGGCUUAAAUUACUGUGGAGAAAUUCAAGGCGGAUACCAGGAAAACAUUCCCCUGAGGGACUGGAGUGUCAGCACUGAGGUUCCUAGAAGAAGUUGGCCCACAGGGCAUUAGCUGCUCCCUAAGGUUCCUUCUUUUCUAGGAUUUCACAUUGCAGGGUAAAAGUAUAUGGAAAAACCUUAAGGCAAGGGUCUGGCUGGCUUCAGUGUGCGGAAGAGGGAAGGAGGACCAGUGGGGCAAGCCCUGAGAACAGCCUGUGGAGACCCAAAGGGUCUGCGGGGCAGCAAAGCAGCCGCCAGGAGCGAAGUGCAGCCACAGAAAUGAGCUUUUUGGGUGAAGAAUAGCAAGAGAAGCUCACGUGGGCAGCAGAGCCCAUCACAGCGGGUGCUCAGUGGGACAGAGCAGAGCCACCAGGAGUGCCUGGAAAGGACAUCAGUCUGCGAGAAGUCUGUGAGAGCAGAACGCACCGGAGAGGAGCUCUGCACAAAGUGCUGGCGGCCACACAGCACGGAUCUGCAGGGCUGCUCUGCUGUCUGAGCACAGGGCUGGUCCUGGCCUGUGGCUCUGCUCCAGCUCCAGGCACACAGCGAGCAGAGCCCAAGGCACAGGUGAGGGUUGCUCAGGGGCCUGGCUGAUGGUAAGUGGCAUAUAAAGCACCUUCCCCCCACCCCCACCUUAAUCGGAGGAGUGACUGGGACCACCCUUUGAGCUGGUGGGUCUGAAGCAGGAGCCACAGAGCUUGAGCAGGCAGCAAUUCACUGGGACCGUGCUGGGAGACGGCUGUCAGGAAACCUUUCUUCUGCCCAAAGGACAACAGCUUUGGGGCCUGACCGUGAAAUUCCCAGUUCCUGGAAGCUCCCUGCAUCUCCUCUGCCAUCAAUCAUCCGUGGCAACAAAACCCAGGAAACCACUUAAUAAUCUCAAAUAAUCCCACAGGAAAAUUUACAACGGCAAUCUCAUACUUCAUCUGAUACAGGCCCUGCCCAGGCUCCUGAGGGCAGGGGAAUUCCCUCAAACAACCACAUCCAAGGAAAGCCUGUCCUUCAGUUUCCAGCUUCAGGGCUGCUUCACACAGUCCCUACAAUCACUGCUGUGUAGCACAGGUGAGCAGCCCCAGGUCCCGGGCAAUUGCUCCUUGCCAG